CAGUCGCCGCGGUAAUGCGUAGGGUGCGAGCGUUAAUCGGAAUUACUGGGCGUAAAGCGUACGCAGGCGGUUCGUUAAGACAGAUGUGAAAUCCCCGGGCUUAACCUGGGAACUGCAUUUGUGACUGGCGAGCUAGAGUAUGGCAGAGGGGGGUAGAAUUCCACGUGUAGCAGUGAAAUGCGUAGAGAUGUGGAGGAAUACCGAUGGCGAAGGCAGCCCCCUGGGCCAAUACUGACGCUCAUGCACGAAAGCGUGGGGAGCAAACAGGAUUAGAUACCCCCGUAGUCCCUGUCUCUUAUAC
rnacentral:rRNA from 1 species